rnacentral:lncRNA from 1 species
UUUGAAUCGGUUUCUGUUCGGUUGGUUCGGUUCGGUUUUUUUGCCCACCCCUAUUCAUUUACUUAUGCAAUUAUAUCACCGUCUUUCUUUGAAAAGAUGAACUUAUCCUCUUUCCGAAAUGGAAUAUCGUUUUUAUUCACAAACUAGACUUGUAUUUUUAACCACCCAUUUAUUAACUAUGUGGCUUUUAUUUGUAGUAAUUAUUAAAGUGGCGUGCUGUGAUUUAAAUUAACAAGUGAAGAUUCCUUGGUUCAGACCAAAAAAGCAAUGUCACUCUAUAUAGAUUUUAUAUUGUCCAUAUGUGCUCCACGUCAUCCCUUUCCCUUUCUCUCUAUCACUAGUAAAUUAUAAGCGACAAGGGUAUAAAUGGGUGAAACUUUGGCUAAAUGUUAUUUAUUUAAUAACG